CAGGACGAACGCUGGCGGCGUGCUUAACACAUGCAAGCCGAGCGGAGAAUAUAGCAAUAUAUUCUUAGCGGCGGACGGGUGAGUAACGCGUGGGCAAUCUGCCUCAUACAGGGGGAUAACACUGGGAAACUAGUGCUAAUACCGCAUAAAAUAGUGAAGUGGCAUCACUUUACUACCAAAGGAGCAAUCCGGUGUGAGAUGAGCCCGCGUCCGAUUAGCUAGUUGGAGGGGUAACGGCCCACCAAGGCGACGAUCGGUAGCCGAACUGAGAGGUUGAUCGGCCACAUUGGGACUGAGACACGGCCCAGACUCCUACGGGAGGCAGCAGUGGGGAAUAUUGCGCAAUACGGGGGGAAACCCUGACGCAGCAACGCCGCGUGAAGGAUGAAGGUUUUCGGAUUGUAAACUUCUUUGAUUGGGGACGAUAAUGACGGUACCCAAAAAACAAGCCACGGCUAACUACGUGCCAGCAGCUGC
rnacentral:rRNA from 1 species